CGGUCCAGACUCCUACGGGAGGCAGCAGUGGGGAAUAUUGCACAAUGGGCGCAAGCCUGAUGCAGCCAUGCCGCGUGUGUGAAGAAGGCCUUCGGGUUGUAAAGCACUUUCAGCGGGGAGGAAGGCGAUAAGGUUAAUAACCUUGGCGAUUGACGUUACCCGCAGAAGAAGCACCGGCUAACUCCGUGCCAGCAGCCGCGGUAAUACGGAGGGUGCAAGCGUUAAUCGGAAUUACUGGGCGUAAAGCGCACGCAGGCGGUCUGUCAAGUCG
rnacentral:rRNA from 1 species